GCCGGCGAGGCGCUUGAUCUUCGCGUCGUGCUCGCUGUCGAUCAGCACCGGGUUCACGUUCGACAGCCCGCUGCGUGCGAGGCGCGGCUUCAGCU
rnacentral:tRNA from 1 species